ensembl:lncRNA
UUCAAGGUAAAUGGCAAAUUUUCGAAGAAAAAACAGGUGAUAUUCUCUUAAAUGGGAAAUUCUCGAAGAGAAAAUGGGUGAUUUUUGGGUUAAAUAGGGGACUUUCGAAGAGAAAAUGGGUGAUUUUCGGGUUAAAUGGGGAAUUUUCAAAAAGAAAAUGAGUGAUUUUCAAGGUAAAUGGCGGAUUUUCGAAGAGAAAAUGGGUGAUUUUCUCUUAAAUGUAAAGUUCUCAAAGAGAAAAUGGGUGAUUUCUGCAUAAAUGAGGGAUUAAAAAAAAAAAACCAAAUGAUUUUCUAGUUAAAUGGGGGAUUUUCGAAGAGAAAAUGGGUGAUUUCUGCGUAAAUGAGGGAUUCUCGAAGGGAAAAUGCAUGAUUUUGGGGUUAAAUGGGGGAUUUUCAAAGAGAAAAUGCACGAUUUUCUAGUUAAAGGGAUAAUUUUCAAAGAGAAAAUGUGUGAUUUUCGCUUGAAUCGAGCUUUUUCAAAGAGAAAAUGAAUGAUUUUGGAAAUAAAAGGGGGAUUUUUGAAGAGAAAAUGGGUGAUUUCUGCAUAAAUGAGGGAUUUUUGAAAAGAAAACAGGUGAUUUUUGUGCUGAAUGAGGGAUUUUCAAAGAAAAAAUGGAUUAUUUUUGCUAAAAUGAAGGAUUUUCAAAGAGUAAAUGAAUGAUUUUCACUUAAAUGGGGGAUUUUCAAAGAGAAAAUGGCUGAUUUUCACUAAAAUGAGGGAUUUUCAAAGAGGAAAUGGGUGAUUUUUGCAUAAAUGAGGGAUUCUCGAAGGGAAAAUGGGUGAUUUUGGGGUUAAAUGGGGGAUUUUCAAAGAGAAAAUGCAUGAUUUUCUAGUUAAAUGGAUAAUUUUCAAAGAGAAAAUGGUUGAUUUUUUGCGUAAAUGGGGGAUUUUCGAAAAGAAAACGGGUGAUUUUCGGGUUAAAUAGGGGAUUUUCAAAGAAAAAAUGCGUGAUUUUUGGGUUAAAUGGGAUUUUUUUUAAGAGAAAAUGAGUGAUUUUCGCUUAAAUCGGGUUUUUUUUCGAAGAGAAAAUGCAUGAUUUGGGGGAUAAAAGGGGGAUUUCUGAAGAGAAAAUGGGUGAUUUUUGCGUAAAUGAGGGAUUUUUGAAGAGAAAAUGCAUGAUUUUUUGGGGAUAAAUGGGGGAUUUUUGAAAAGAAAACAGGUGAUUUUUGGGUUAAAUGGGGGAUUUUCAAAGAGAAAAUGGAAGAUUUUGGCUUAAAUCAGGGAUUUUUGAAGAGAAAAUGGGUGAUUUCUGCAUAAAUGAGGGAUUUUUGAAAAGAAAACGGGUGAUUUUCGGGUUAAAUGGGGGAUUUUCAAAGAGAAACAGCAUGAUUUUUGGGUUAAAUGGGGAAUUUUCGAAAAGAAAACAGGUGAUUUUCAGGUUAAAUGGGGGAUUUUCAAAGAGAAAAUGGGUGAUUUUCGCUUAAAUCGGGGAUUUUUGAAGAGAAAAUGGGUGAUUUCUGCAUAAAUGAGGGAUUUUUAAAAAGAAAACGGGUGAUUAUUGUGCUAAAUGGAAGAUUUUCAAAGAAAAAUGGAUUAUUUUCGCUAAAAUGAAGGAUUUUCAAAGAGUAAAUGAAUGAUUUUUGCUUAAAUUGGGGAUUUUCAAUGAGAAAAUGGGUGAUUUUCACUAAAAUGAGGGAUUAUCAAAGAGAAAAUAAGUGAUUUUUGCGUAAAUGAGGGAUUUUCGAAGAGAAAAUGGGUGAUUUUUGUGGAAAAUGGGGGAUUUUCAAAGAGAAAAUGGGUGAU